rnacentral:lncRNA from 1 species
GUUCAGCUUUGCAAAUGCAGGGAGGGUGAUCAGAAAAGUCUGGGAGUGUUGGUGGACCCAUAGGCUUGUAAAGUGUUGGCCAUAUUAUGCCUCAAACCCUAAGCUCUUCAGUCAAAAUGGAAUUUGUGUCAUAGUCUCAGUGUGACAAUGCUGUUCAGUCAAUGUGAACAGCAAGCAGUGAAAAACAGACGCCAGACUACUGAAACCCGUGGGUUACCUCUGGAGGAGAUGACAGGAGCAGGACGAGCAGAAACAAAGUUGCAAACGUUUUCAUGGGGCUCAUCCCUUCCCACUAGAAUGUCAGUGAGAAGGCAGCCAUCCAUGAACUAGGAAGCAGCUCUCCCCAGACGCGAAAUCUGCC